UACGAAGGGGGCUAGCGUUGCUCGGAAUCACUGGGCGUAAGGGGUGCGUAGGCGGGUCUUUAAGUCAGGGGUGAAAUCCUGGAGCUCAACUCCAGAACUGCCUUUGAUACUGAAGAUCUUGAGUCCGGGAGAGGUGAGUGGAACUGCGAGUGUAGAGGUGAAAUUCGUAGAUAUUCGCAAGAACACCAGUGGCGAAGGCGGCUCACUGGCCCGGUACUGACGCUGAGGCACGAAAGCGUGGGGAGCAAACAGG
rnacentral:rRNA from 1 species